rnacentral:rRNA from 1 species
AUUGAACGCUGGCGGCAGGCCUAACACAUGCAAGUCGAACGGUAACAGGAAGAAGCUUGCUUCUUUGCUGACGAGUGGCGGACGGGUGAGUAAUGUCUGGGAAACUGCCUGAUGGAGGGGGAUAACUACUGGAAACGGUAGCUAAUACCGCAUAACGUCGCAAGACCAAAGAGGGGGACCUUCGGGCCUCUUGCCAUCGGAUGUGCCCAGAUGGGAUUAGCUAGUAGGUGGGGUAACGGCUCACCUAGGCGACGAUCCCUAGCUGGUCUGAGAGGAUGACCAGCCACACUGGAACUGAGACACGGUCCAGACUCCUACGGGAGGCAGCAGUGGGGAAUAUUGCACAAUGGGCGCAAGCCUGAUGCAGCCAUGCCGCGUGUAUGAAGAAGGCCUUCGGGUUGUAAAGUACUUUCAGCGGGGAGGAAGGGAGUAAAGUUAAUACCUUUGCUCAUUGACGUUUCCCGCAGAAGAAGCACCGGCUAACUCCGUG